CCCGGGGCUGCAGGCAGAGCGCCCCCCGCCCCGCUCACCUUCCCGCAGCCGCGCGGUGGUCACACCGAGGAUCCGCUUCGGGAGCGGCGGGUGUCCCGGUGCUGCCCCUCGCUCGGCUCUGAGUGACCCUCUCGAGCACCAGUGACAUGAGUCACGGCUGUGCUCGUCCUGCCUGGACCAGACUGGCUGAAGGGCAGAAUUCAAGAUCUCCCCAGGCGUAAAUUCUUCGCCUCACGAGCAGGGGUACCCAGGGCUGUCCGUUUCUAUCACAUUGUGCUUUUACUUGGUUCCACACACCUACACCACUUCUCCAUCUUUUCCUACUGUUCACUUGGGUUUUUUUCCUAACGCCUGUGUUGAUAGGAAGCUGCAAUUUGGGUUUAUAUUUUUUAUUAUUUUUUUAAUUCUCAUUAAUUCACAAAUAAUGACAAGGGAAGUUUCAAAUCACCCCCCUCCCCCAGUUCCUGUCUUGCAAGGAGCUUGAAGAACAGCCAGAAGAUGGUUGUGUGGAAAGGAAGUAAGAGAGGUCAUCUCACUGCUCUGAUAACACAGGAAGAGCAAGUCCUUCUUUCCCCUCUGUAGCUGCUGUAUUGGGAUCACCUUUGUUGCCCUAUACUUCAGCAUCCUCAGGUCAAUCAUAUACAAGAAAAGCUGAGAACUGCAGUGAUUUCUGUCUCACUCCAAAGGAGCUUUCUUCUCAAUAACAAAACAAAAAAGGCUGCAGGUAAUGGUCAUGGAGUGCUUGAAGGCCAUCUGCCUUCCCUCAUCACAAAGUGAAGGGAAUCAAUGGGAGACCUUUACAAAGUUGGACUUUGAGAGUGGCCAGUCCUGCCUCAGAGUCUCCUCUGAUCCAUGGGAGCCUGGGCUGUUCCACAGAAUGGUCCUGUGCCUUGACACUAAUUUAUCAUCCACCAUGACCCCAAGCUCGUGGAUAAGGAAGGAAUACCCAUGGCUGCUACCAUCCCGGCACCUCUGGCUUCAGAUAAAUCACCAAGCUUGGAGCAUGACUGCCCCAGGAAGAAAGAAAAGCAACUGCAUUGCUCUGCUCAACACAUGGCAGCUUGCUCCUCUCCUCUCCACAGAACAUUGAUCUUCAAGGCCAUACAUGAUUAAAGGAGUGGGAAACAUUCCCUGGAAUUAGCUGUUCCCUUUUUCUUCUUCCUGCUUAAGGUAAGAGCUGUACAAACUCCCUCUAUAAUAGUCACCUAACAGAGAAUACAAUGACUAGUCUGUCAUCAAAGUAUUUAGGGAUGAUGAUGAUACCUAGAUUGGUUUUCAGUGUGUUUUUUGUUUUUAUUUUACUGUGAGGUUUCUACAAAAUCCAUAAAUCAUAGGAAUGUGAUAAGAAACAGGUCGUAGUUGCUGGUUAUUCUUGUCCAGAUGCACAGAAAUACCCUGAUUGUUUCUU